rnacentral:rRNA from 1 species
UACAGAGGGGGCAAGCGUUGUUCGGAAUUACUGGGCGUAAAGGGCGCGUAGGCGGCCCGCUAAGUCGAACGUGAAAUCCCCGAGCUCAACUCGGGAACUGCGUCCGAUACUGGCGGGCUUGAAUGCGGGAGAGGGAUGCGGAAUUCCAGGUGUAGCGGUGAAAUGCGUAGAUAUCUGGAGGAACACCGGUGGCGAAGGCGGCAUCCUGGACCGGCAUUGACGCUGAGGCGCGAAAGCUAGGGGAGCAAACGGG